rnacentral:misc_RNA from 1 species
GAAGCAUCCUAAUAGAUUGCCUUGGACAACGGCAUGCAGCAUGACGUCCAGAUCGUCAAGCUUCUUGCCAUAGGCACUCAUCUGAGAUUUGAUUGAAAACAGUCUACAGAGUGGAAGAGCAUAGAGGAAAAAUUGAAAAAUUUAUAUAUGAUCUGACAUUCUGACUUACCCCAGGCCAUCUUCUGACCAUGCAGCUUCAUGGACGCCUUCUGCUGUUCUAAAUGCCAUGUCAGUCAUAUUUUCAUGGAUCAUUGAAGCAGCGACCGCAUACGUCACUCCUGACCAUAUUUCUCUUGACUGCAUUGACGAAAAGUCUACCAUUCCAUCAGGAAGCAUCCCAUUUACUGCACCGCGCUUCCCACCCUUCACCUUCAAGACAUUAUAAUUGUAUACCUUCUCCAGUGCACUCUUGGCCUUGUCUUCAUCAACGAUGGGAAGAAGACCUGAAGCUCUAGCAUACCAUUGUCCAGCCAACUGA